rnacentral:lncRNA from 1 species
CCCCUUUCCUUUUCAUGUUUGAGUGAGGAUUUUUCCCCCUACUCUUAACGGGGUCGUGAAGGCGUAGAGGUAUCGUUAAGGAAGGUCUCCUCCCUGCCGAUCAACCAAGCCUUUAUUUACGUCGGGAUGAGGUCUUCCCUGUGUUCUCAACAGUCAGAUUUAGCUCGUGUCAGGACAAGAUUCUCUUCCUGUUCCUAGCAAGGCUGUGGGGGCACAUCAGGGCCGUUAUGAGGGCCUCUCCCUCCAUCCGAUCUUUUAGAAAAUUGGGCCUUCGACUUUGCUCAUGUUAGGACGAGGUUCUCC